CUAGAAGUGUCAUUAAACGCCGUCAGAUGUAAAUUUUGAAAGACGACCAAGACACUUGUUGCGGACAUAAUGCAUGCAGUAUUUCUCCAAAACGAAGCGAUGUUUUCUGUAAGGGUUUCAUAUACCAUUCUUGAUUGAUAUCGGUCUUUGGAGAUCAUGCACUGGGUUUAUUUUGGACAUAAAUAUAUAGCCAGAUUUAUUAAUUAACCGAAAUAGUCCAACAGUCUGAGAAUCGACGUGCAUUGAAGAACUGGUUUCCUAGAGAUAAAAAAAAUCAAGGUCAUGUAUCGUCAGUAUAUCGAUCAGAGUAAUUAUUUUCCUGGAAAUUAAAAAAAUCAAGGUCAGGUAUUGUCAUUUAUCGAUCAGAUACCCGGAAUGGCAGAUACCAAGAAUGGAUAUUGAUUGAUAUACUAUCAUUCCCGUGGGAAAUUCUCAGCAAAGUCAAAGCAAUAUACCGAUACCAAGAAAAAUAAUGUUUUAUUAUUAUAACUGAUGGGGAAUCAACC